GAUGAACGCUAGCUUCAGGCUUAACACAUGCAAGUCGAGGGGUAACAAGAGGAAAGCUUGCUUUUCUUGUUGACGACCGGCGCACGGGUGAGUAACGCGUAUCCAACCUGCCUAUAACUAGGGAAUAACCUUGCGAAAGUAAGACUAAUACCCUAUGAUUUCCUUUGAUGACAUCAGAUUAGGAAUAAAGAUUUAUCGGUUACCGAUGGGGAUGCGUCUGAUUAGCUUGUUGGCGGGGUAACGGACCACCAAGGCAACGAUCAGUAGGGGUUCUGAGAGGAAGGUCCCCCACAUUGGAACUGAGACACGGUCCAAACUCCUACGGGAGGCAGCAGUGAGGAAUAUUGGUCAAUGGGCGGAAGCCUGAACCAGCCAAGUAGCGUGCAGGAUGACGGCCCUAUGGGUUGUAAACUGCUUUUAUACAGGAAUAAAGUUAGCCACGUGUGGUUAUUUGUAGGUACUGUAUGAAUAAGGACCGGCUAAUUCCGUGCCAGCCGCCGCCGUAA
rnacentral:rRNA from 1 species